CAGCCAUCAAAUAGACCUUUUCUUUUUUUCCUGUAUGGUUCUUCUUCUGCUGCCAGGUUCUUCUUUUCUCUUGAAAGCAUUCCUCUGCCAGUUGUUUGUGCAGUGUGCCAGAAGGUUGACACAAAUCUUUGCAGUCAGCUUGGCUUCCUCUAAGAUGAUGAUAUAUCAUGAAAUAGUGUGGCUUCUGUUCGAGUGAGCAAGCACCUGACGAAUACGAAAACUGCAGCAGCUUCCUUGAAGGGGUAAUAUUUUUCUUUGCUUGGCGGCACAAGGGGAAAUGAAGUGCGGAGGUCUGAGAAAAUUGUUUUUUUCUUUCUGGCUGACAUUUGAAGUAGAUAUUAUAGAACAACAAUGCAGCAAAUACUGUCUUGCG
rnacentral:lncRNA from 1 species